rnacentral:rRNA from 1 species
GACGAACGCUGGCGGCGUGCUUAACACAUGCAAGUCGAACGGAAAGGCCCUGCUUUUGUGGGGUGCUCGAGUGGCGAACGGGUGAGUAACACGUGAGUAACCUGCCCUUGACUUUGGGAUAACUUCAGGAAACUGGGGCUAAUACCGGAUAGGAGCUCCUGCUGCAUGGUGGGGGUUGGAAAGUUUCGGCGGUUGGGGAUGGACUCGGGGCUUAUCAGCUUGUUGGUGGGGGAGUGGCUUACCAAGGCUUUGACGGGUAGCCGGCCUGAGAGGGUGACCGGCCACAUUGGGACUGAGAUACGGCCCAGACUCCUACGGGAGGCAGCAGUGGGGAAUAUUGCACAAUGGGCGGAAGCCUGAUGCAGCAACGCCGCGUGCGGGAUGACGGCCUUCGGGUUGUAAACCGCUUUCGCCUGUGACGAAGCGUGAGUGACGGUAAUGGGUAAAGAAGCACCGGCUAACUACGUG